rnacentral:tRNA from 1 species
GCCGGGAUGGCGGAACUGGUAGACGCACCGGACUCAAAAUCCGGCGGUGGCAACAUCGUGAGGGUUCGAUUCCCUCUCCCGGCACCA